GGUUUCCAUUAUUCAGAUUGCAAAUUUUGCAGCUUCUAAGAUGAAAUCUUGCAGCGAAAAGUUAUUUUCACACAAGAUCUGUACGGUAAUAUAAUAUGUUUUGAAACACUUUCUUCUUUCUUGAUCGAGUGGCUGAACCAUGCUGAUAUAAUAUGGUACAGGGACUGUCUACCUCUAAAGGAGUCAAAUUGUUUUACACUUUCUAUCAUAAAUAUAAUAUAUGCUAUAUAUUAGACCCAUCGCACAUAAAUUGUAACGCUAGUUGCUGCGUACAAAUUUUUAUCCUAGUGACCAUGUCGGUCCGAUAUGCUGAUCCAUCUCGGAAAAGUUCUUUAUAGAAACUGACCGAUUCAUCCGCGUUGUAGGUGCAACCACUUUCGUAUUGUGCAAGAAGGUCUAAACAUUCACCAACCAAUUAUUAACAGCUUGACGGUCAGCCUUAGUUACUUCACCGCCCGUUUUAUGAAAAGAAACAUUCCCACGGACUUUCCAUUUAUGAAGUCACCCAGAAGUGGCCUUGAAACUAUCAACGUUAAACACCAGGAUUCAAUCGUUUACUAACAAAUUAAUAAGUGCAUAGGUUUGUAUAAGUAAUUGGGUUAUCACGGGAACAGAGCAGAAAUCAGAAAAGCAACAAAAAAUCAGCAAAUAAGUAAACAAGUCAGAAUACCGGAAGGGCGCCGCUUCAGGUAUUGUGUUCAUCUUAUAUGAGCAAACCAAAUGAUAUGCAUGUAUGUUCGUAAGUAUUGUAUAUGA